rnacentral:rRNA from 1 species
CCCUUAGAUGUUCUGGGCCGCACGCGCGCUACACUGAUGCAUUCAACGAGUCUAAAACCUGCUCUGAUAGGGGUGGGUAAUCUUUUGAAUGUGCAUCGUGAUUGGGAUAGAUGAUUGAAAUUUUUCAUCUUCAACGAGGAAUGCCUAGUAAACGCAAGUCAUCAGCUUGCAUUGAUUACGUCCCUGCCCUUUGUACACACCGCCCGUCGCUCCUACCGAUCGAAGAGUUAGGUGAAUUGUUUUGAUCGAUAAGAUUUGACUAUGGUCAACUCUCGUUGUGAAAUUCUGUGAAUCUGACUGUUUAGAGGAAGGAAAAGUCGUAACA